AGCACAAUACAGAACAGUACAGAGCCAUACAGUAGUGCUUGUGACUAUACAGUACAGUACAGAGCACUAUAGUACAGCACAGCACAGUACAGUACAGAACA
rnacentral:miRNA from 1 species